ensembl:lncRNA
CAUUUUCCUUGGCAGGGAGUUGAGGGAAUGUUUCCAGCUAGGUUAUGAUAUCUUCAUCGUGCACUGUUAUCAAGGCUUGCAUUUCCUGGUGUCAAGCCACAGAGCUGGAGAUACGCUGCUCUUUCUGCACCAGGGCUAUCCAGAGUUGUAUGCUACGUAUGUGCUGCUCCACAAAGCCCUUUGUUAUUGCUGCAGUCUUCUCCACUGGCUUUCAAAAUAUUCUCCAAACAGAGCAGCUUCAUUUUAGCAAGAAGCAGGACAUAAUGAAUGAUCUAGUCUGGGCUGUACCCCAAGCCUGACACUGCUACCUGCUCUGCAUAGUGUGGUGACUCCUCAGCCAUGGCUCGCCGUGCACACGGGAGGUGAGGAGAGCAGCUGCAGAGCUAGAAACACAGCCAGGAUUUACAUGGUGAAUGAUGUUCUAUGCCUCGCUUCCUCUACCCAGCUCUUCUGCAAUUCUUGUGCUGAACUGGAGCAUGAACCUCUGACAAAUGGGACAGUGUCACCCUUCAUCUGCAAAUGAACAACUGUAUUUGUUCUUCUUAGGCAAAUGAUGCAAUACCUGAGGCCGUUGGCACACUGAACUGAUCUCACAGUUGACUAAUGAGGAGCCAGAGAAGCCAAAGGUGAACAUGAACCAUAUAAUGGGCUUUGAUGCCUUUGUGUGACUUCUUAUGAUCAAGUAGUAUUACAUCAGCAGAAGAGAAGACCAGAAGAGAUUAUAUUCCUCUGGGACUCCCUAAUUUUAGAUUACAGAGCGAGUUAGUCAGAUGAGAGAUGUUUAAAAUGAAUAGGAACUUCUUUCUGUGCACACUUGGGAAUUCCUGGCUUCAAUAACAAAAACCACUAAUAGAACACAGCGGCAAAGAGGAGGCUGAAAUUAUUCUCAUUUCAGUCAAUUUCUGCCCUCACUUACCCCAGUGUAGGCAUGCUCCUUCCUGGUGGCCUGGCUUUGCUGCAGCCAAGGACACUGGGUCACUCCUGGCAGAUCUCCGCUAAUGCUUGCACUGCAGAGCAUCCUGCCCAAUUGCAGCUGGAAAAAUCCAUAUUUUAAUAUAUUUUUUAACAGAGUGUAUUGCAUCCAGUGGUUGAGGC